CCCUUAGAUGUUCUGGGCUGCACGCGCGCUACACUGAUGCGUUCAACAAGUUGGACCUCGUCCGAGAGGAAAUCGGGGGAAUCUUUUGAAAACGUAUCGUGAUAGGGAUAGAUUAUUGUAAUUAUUAAUCUUCAACGAGGAAUUCCUAGUAAGCAUGAGUCAUCAGCUCGUGCUGAUUACGUCCCUGCCCUUUGUACACACCGCCCGUCGCUCCUACCGAAUGAGUGAUCCGGUGAAUUAACUAGAUUGUGGCGAGGGUAGUUUUCUGCUAUUGCUACGAAAAGGUUUGUGAACCUUAUCACUUAGAGGAAGGAGAAGUCGUAACA
rnacentral:rRNA from 1 species